UCAAGACGAUUUCAUUAAUUAAAAAUAUUGUUUUAGAACAUAGUUAUCGGUCGUUGUAUAACCUGUUUCGAUCUAACGGGUCAUUGGUCAAAAUUGUAUGCAUUUAACCAUAUUAUAUUGUCAUGAACAGAAUUACGUGUACUAGUCCAACUAGAAGCUUGGAGCAGAUAUGUACUUUUCUUUCCUUUAUGGAUUGUAUUUGUUUAUUUCUUCUGUGAAUGCCUCGGGUAAGUAUGAUUUAUUUUUUAGUCAAUUUGGUUUUUGAAAAAUUUCAGCAAAAAAAACUAUAAAAAUUAUAAAGCACAUGCUUUGUCAUGAUUCAUAGACUACAACGUCAAUACUUAGAAUUUAAGAUGAGAUGUAAGUCGAUAAAAUCAAUGUCAAAUUAUAGCAAAUUUUCGAUUCAGAAAUUCUGUGUCAUUGAGAGAAUCAUUCAUGUCCUACGUAAUCUGAACUUCAUUCAACGAUCUUGUUUAUGUCAUGCAUGGUCAUAUUAUCAUUAACUUCAUUUACUGUUUUCUGAUUAAAACAUUUUAAAUUCUCAGUAUUGAUGUUAGUUUCAAUCUAUGAACCAUCAAAAAUGAUUUGAUGACCGUUUUUACAUCCAAUAAUUUACUACGAAUACAUUACACAGAUAAACAGAAAAUGAGAAACUUACCUGGUAAUUGAUGUGCAUUUUUUUCAGUUUGCAGAAAACAAAGAAAAAUUAACAAACACAUGAGUUUCAUUUGAUACGGUCCACUCAGUUACACAGUUUAAAUCACCUAUUGUUUGCAGAUGUCUAUUGUCCAUUUAUUGUCUAUUUAAAUCAAUAGUUCUCUCAUUUUUUUACCUCUUUCCUAUUAAACUUAGUUUAUUUUGGCAUCUUUUGCAAGAAAGAAAAAUGAAUAGCAAAAUCCAGAAAAGUGUAUUGUUUUCUAACACAUAAAAUGCAUUAAAAAUAUAAAUGCGGUCAUAUCAGAUAAAAGAUUAUGAUGAACCUUCAAACAUGUAUAUAUAUUAAUUACCACGACCAAUUACAUUUCAUGUUUUUUCGUCAAUUAAACUAAUACCAACCAUACAAACUGGAAAAAAUGAAUUUGAAUAGUAGUUUAUCUCCAAUUUGAGGGGAGAAAAAAAAUCUGUUAAAGCAGCUGGACAAAAAAAAAUAUUUUUAAUGCAGAUUCCCCCAUUGCUUCAUAGUCAUAAAUAAUGAUGUACGGUAUUUCUCGAAGCAUUUGAAAAACAAUGCCAAAUUUACAUAAACAUGUCAUUACAAAAAUAAGAGACAUCCCUUUCAAGUAAAAAAUUGCUCUCAGCAGUAUGUCAGUCAUUUGAGUGAUCGAUUCUUCUUCUCUUGAUUUUCAAAUCCCUGUGAUAGUGGGUUUAUGCAGUUUGUAGAUAUCGUCUGAGAAAACUAAGUGUUGAAUUUGCUUUGAGGAAAUAGAAAAUAGACUAUAUUUUUGCUACAAGAAAACCCCAAAACAUAAUCUUUUAUCUUAAAUGAUGCAAUCUAUAUGCGUGAUCCGAACAGCAUGACCGGUCUUAUCUACAUUUUCUGUCUGAGUAACUACUUUUCCUGAAAAAUUGACGAAUUCGUUCCUUUCGUAGUAUAUAUUUAUUCCAAAAACGAUAGAUCCGCGAUGUAGCUUUUUUGCACUGAUGCGGCGUGAUGCAAAAAUCAAUCAAUAAAUCAAAAUCAACGAAACGAAACGUAGCCAGGAGCCUCUUUUUCAGAGAUUGUCGUUGGUUGAUGUAUGUCUUAAAGUAAUAAGAAGAUGUGGUAUGAGUGCCAAUGAGACAACUCUCCAUCCAAGUCACAAUUUGUAAAAGUAAACCAUUAUAGGUCAAAGUACGGUCUUCAACACGGAGCCUUGGCUCACAUCGAACAGAAAGCUAUACUAGUAUAUAUAUAAUGGGCCCAUAAAAAAUACUAAUAUAAAAUCAUUCAAACAAAAAAACCAACGGUGUAAUCUAUAUAAAAAAAAACGAGAAACGUACACGAACCACAUCAACAAACGACAACCACUAAAUAUCAGGUUUCUGACUUAGUACAGGUGCAAACAAAUGCAACGGGUUUAAACGUUUUAAUAGGUACCAACCUUCACCCUUCAACCAUACCACGUCUUCUUAUUUCAAUAUCAGUCAAACGUUUUGUCAUUACACCUUUAACAAUAUUUUUUCAAGAGUCCAGUAACGGUCUGCCAGGAACAACGUAUACAAAAUGGACUUGGACAGAAUGGUUUGACACAGAUUCAGGAGAUCUAGAAACAGAAAUAGAAACCUAUGAUUCUAUUGUAGCG
rnacentral:lncRNA from 1 species